UACGUAGGGUGCGAGCGUUAAUCGGAAUUACUGGGCGUAAAGCGUGCGCAGGCGGUUCGUUAAGUCAGAUGUGAAAGCCCCGGGCUCAACCUGGGAACUGCAUUUGAAACUGGCGGGCUUGAGUGUGGCAGAGGGGGGUGGAAGUUCCGCGUGUAGCAGUGAAAUGCGUAGAGAUGCGGAGGAACACCGAUGGCGAAGGCAGCCCCCUGGGCCAACACUGACGCUCAGGCACGAAAGCGUGGGGAGCAAACAGG
rnacentral:rRNA from 1 species